UGAUUUCAUCCUGAUGUCCCGCCUGACGCUGCUGUGGGAAGUCGGACAAACAGUUCUGAGAUGAAGGAAAACAGAAAGAAAAGGAAACAGACAAGCCCCAAGUAAGGAGAUGAGGAUGCAGAGUUGGGGCGAGCAGGGCGGGGCGGAGCAGCAUCCUCCGUUGCUGGCUUUUCCUGCCCAGCCCUGAGCAACCCCUCCCUGUCUCUGCGCUCAGCUAUAUUUGCCAGCUCCAUCCCUUCUUUCCUCCGGUGAAAGCCUGUAAUUACAGACACCAGGUGCGGCGGCUCUCUCGCCUCUCCGGUGACUUCGUCAGUCAGAGCUGUGAAUAGUAAUUUGCCAACCACCAUCGAAGUUUCCUUUCAAAAGCAGGAUACGCUGGGUGUCAUGUUACAUCACUCAGAAGCCUGAGACAAUAGAAGAGGAAAUAGAAUUUACCCGGGUAACAAAGGAGUCUGCAGCUCAUUUUUCUUUCGCCCUGGUUAGGGGAGGACUGAAUGCUGCCUCUAAGCGGACAGCGGCAGUCCAGAAGCAGGGAAGGAAGGGAGGGGCUCAAGGCAGAAGAAGCAUGGGCACUGGGUGCUGCCGUGCCUCGAGUCCGGUGUGUGCUAUUUGUUCCAACGCCAAACUGGAGUGAAGCAACCUCGCACAGAAAAGUCUGUCAUAUUCUGGACAAGGCUGAAGAUGCUCCAAUGAGAGCAGGAGAGAAACUUUGGGGGAAACCAACCAUCUGUCCUGGAAGCUGCAGUUCCUGCAAACACAGGUCAUUCCAUUUUGCUGGUCAGGUACAGAUUACUGCUUUAGGGAGUGUAGUGAAAGAGGGACAGCUAUAAUUUUCUUAGAAGCUUCAACUGCUUCCAUAAUGGAACCAAGUGAUAGAUGACAACUGAGGUCACUCAUCCCUUCCUUCUGCCUCGGUCCCCGGAGGAGCUGGUAAAGCCACAGGCGGCUGAGGAGGCUAACACCAAGUGGUAACAAGAAAGCAAUCACUAUACCGUAAAGCGAAUGGAUGACUUAUGGGGCCUACUUCAGUUGCUCUUUAACUUCAGAAAGCAGCAUUUUCUCAACCUAAAACCUGUAAAACUGUAAAAAAAUUUAAACUGUAAAACAACCGUC